ACGAACGAGGUUGGUGCAGUGAUCACGCAGGUUCAAGCACCGCCGAGGGUGCCGACGCGUGGACCGAGACGGUCCCGUGGCGUUUGUCCGAGGCGGUGCCGUACUCCUCGUGAACACGGACCAGCGGCGGUUGGACCGGAGCCACAAGGCGGCAGCGGAAGGUGAGUCGGCGUGGGCUUGUCUCGCGCGGACAGCUUAUAGCCCUGCCGUUCGGUGC
rnacentral:misc_RNA from 1 species